GAACGGGUGAGUAAUGUAUCGGAACGUGCCCAGUCGUGGGGGAUAACUGCUCGAAAGAGCAGCUAAUACCGCAUACGACCUGAGGGUGAAAGCGGGGGAUCGCAAGACCUCGCGCGAUUGGAGCGGCCGAUAUCAGAUUAGGUAGUUGGUGAGGUAAAGGCUCACCAAGCCGACGAUCUGUAGCUGGUCUGAGAGGACGACCAGCCACACUGGGACUGAGACACGGCCCAGACUCCUACGGGAGGCAGCAGUGGGGAAUUUUGGACAAUGGGCGCAAGCCUGAUCCAGCCAUGCCGCGUGCGGGAAGAAGGCCUUCGGGUUGUAAACCGCUUUUGUCAGGGAAGAAAAGGUUCUGGCUAAUACCUGGGACUCAUGACGGUACCUGAAGAAUAAGCACCGGCUAACUACGUGCCAGCAGCCGCGGUAAUACGUAGGGUGCAAGCGUUAAUCGGAAUUACUGGGCGUAAAGCGUGCGCAGGCGGUUAUGCAAGACAGAGGUGAAAUCCCCGGGCUCAACCUGGGAACUGCCUUUGUGACUGCAUGGCUAGAGUACGGUAGAGGGGGACGGAAUUCCGCGUGUAGCAGUGAAAUGCGUAGAUAUGCGGAGGAACACCGAUGGCGAAGGCAAUCCCCUGGACCCUGUACUACGCUCUCACGAG
rnacentral:rRNA from 1 species